UAAGGAAUAUUGGUCAAUGGACGCAAGUCUGAACCAGCCAUGCCGCGUGGAGGAUGAAGGUCCUCUGGAUUGUAAACUUCUUUUAUCUGGGAAGAAACCCAUGUUUUCUAAUGUGGUUGACGGUACCAGAUGAAUAAGCACCGGCUAACUCCGUGCCAGCAGCCGCGGUAAUACGGAGGGUGCAAGCGUUAUCCGGAUUCACUGGGUUUAAAGGGUGCGUAGGCGGAUUGGUAAGUCCGUGGUGAAAUCCCCAAGCUUAACUUGGGAACUGCCGUGGAUACUAUCAGUCUUGAAUAUCGUGGAGGUAAGCGGAAUAUGUCAUGUAGCGGUGAAAUGCUUAGAUAUGACAUAGAACACCAAUUGCGUAGGCAGCUUACUACACGAUCAUUGACGCUGAGGCACGAAAGCGUGGGGAGCAAACA
rnacentral:rRNA from 1 species